ensembl:lncRNA
UGAGGUUGAAGACCCCUAAUACAAGUUAUCCUUCCCCAAUUGGGCCUCCAGAUGAGACUCUGUCCAGCCAACAUGAGACUGCAGCCUUGCAGAGGAACCAACUAAGCCAUGUCCAAGCUCCUGACCCAUAGAAACUGUGAGAUAAGCAGUGUGGGUCAUUUUAAGCUGCUCACUUUGUGGUGAUUUGAAAUGCAGCAGUACACAAUGAAAACACUGAGUCAUAUCAGCACCCUUGUCCAACGUCGUUGCUUUCUGCUGAUGCCCAGCACAAAAGCCUCUAUUCCCAUAUUCUCAAGAUGUUCUUCUGGAAGGACUUCAAGUACUUAUUCUUCAGGCUCCUCUUCUGUUUAACCUGAUAACUCAUCCCACUGGGCUCCUAAUCCUUCGCUGAAGGGACGGAAUUUUGUUUUUAUCAAAGUGCUUUUGUAUGCUUUGUUAAUCAAUCCGUUUUGCUUGUUGGGUUUUUAUCAUCUCUCCAGUCACACAAGAUAGCUGUUGCCUCCUAAAUGCAGCUGGGAAGGUGAAGGUCAGAGAGGUGAUGUAAUCAGUGCAAUAGACUCCAUCCUCUGGGUACCUUUCACGUCACUAAUCCAGAGUGCUCUGCAGCAACCCUGUUGGAGCACAAAGAUGCUCUUUGAAAAGCGGAUUUCAUGGACAACCGAAUGUUCUCAGCACUGCUUAGAGGUGCACUUCGGGUAUAUCAAAGGCACUGAUAAGCCCAGCACAGGAAGAAAGCACUUCAAUGCCUUUAGACGAAUGUGGCUGUGUUGCACAUGGUGACCUUGCAGGGUUCGUCAGCCUGGGCACCUACCAUCAGAAUGAAACCAGUCAUAAACUGCUCUCAGGACAGUGGACUGGCACGGAUGCAGGUACGUAGGCCCCCAGCCAGCUCUGACAGGUGGGUGCUUCGGCCUCCGACUAGCCCACACUUGCACUGGGACAAGCCAAGGGGAUCUUACAGGAGCGGGAACAGUGCCCAGCAUGAGUGAGUCACGGGGGCCCUUUGCAGAUUCCAGGGGUGGCGGCCAAGCCUGGAAAAAAACUGGAGAGGGGACCACUCCACUCUCCACCCAGGUUGUCCUCCCCACACCCAGGGGAAGCUCUGAGACCUGUCUGACUCUGAUCCCCGCUGAGAUCUGGCUUCUCCCCUUGGCUUAGGCAGUGGAGUGUAAGUGGCAAGGGGAGCCCUGUUGGAGGGUGUCAUCAAUGGCUUGGGAUUUAGACAUCCAGGCUGAGGAUUUACCUAGUGGUCCAGUGUUCAAUUCAGGGGGUGCAGGUUCAAUCCCUGGUCAGGGAGCUAAGCUCCCACACGUGGUGCGCACAGCCAAAGAAAAGUCCAGGCUGCGGGAAUUCACCAAGCCAGGAGUUCCCCAGAGAACUGGGCUCAGAGAAAACUUACAAACCCAUGUGUUUCUCUGAUUCUGCUUGACAAGUAUAAGAUCACAGGAUAACUCCUGGCAGCCCCCCGAUCCUAAAGAAGCAAGAUCUGGAUCUCGUCAAAUGAUAGCCAGGAGUUCUCAAGCAGGCCAGAAUGUUGUGGGCAUCCUCUAACAGAGGAGCAACCUACUUUGGGGGUUAGGGGUCACAUCUGCAAGCUGGCCUUAGUGGGCAGCCAAGUUCCCCUUACAUACCCCCAGGGACGGGGCGCUCACUCCUUUCUGUGUUCCUGAUUCAGGAUUAUGAAUUGGCGUUC